rnacentral:misc_RNA from 1 species
GUUUUUGAAUGUUUAGGAGCGUAUUACUAUGUCCCCAUAUUCCGGUUCGCAUAUUCCAAGGUUCCAUUUUAGAGAUUAGAAAUGAAUUUUUAAUGUUUCCUUCAGAAAACAAUUGUCCCAUGGUCCAACUAGAAAUAUUGUUAUGCAACAAAACAUGGUCCACUGUAUUUCCUUUUCAUAUUGUUUUAUUAUAUGCGGUACUUGGGGUGAGGAUCCUUCGGAAAUAGCCUCUCUGCUACCUUAACAAGGUAAGGGUUAGGCUGUGUACACAAUACCCUCCGCAGGCCCCACUUGUGGACUACUCUGGUUAUGCUGUUGUUGUUGAAGCGUUUUACUGACAAUUAACUUUCUCCCUUUUCAGAUUUUAUGUCGCUGAGGUCCUUCU